GACGAACGCUGGCGGCGUGCCUAAUACAUGCAAGUCGAACGCAGUGGGGACGGGUGAGUAACACGUGGGUAACCUCCCAUCAGAGGGGAUAACACUUGGAAACAGGUGCUAAACCGAUACUGAUGGAUGGACCCGCGGUGCAUUAGCUAGUUGGUGAGGUAACGGCUCACCAAGGCCACGAUGCAUAGCCGACUUGAGUGGGUGAUCGGCCACACUGGGGCUGAGACACGGACCAGACUCCUACGGGGAGCAGCAGUAGGGAAUAUUCGGCCAUGGAAGGAAGUAUGACCGAGCAACGCCGCGUGAGUGAAGAAGGUGUUCGGAUCGUAAAACUCUGUUGUUAGAGAAGCGGUAUCUAAACAGAAAGUAACGGCUAACUACGUGCCAGCAGCCGCGGUAAUUC
rnacentral:rRNA from 1 species